GGAAGUAAAAGUCGUAAUAAGGUUUCUGUAGGUGAACCUGCGGAGGGAUCAUUACAGAGUUCUCGCCCUCGCGGGUAGAUCUCCCACCCACUGUUAUCGUUACUGUGUUGCUUUGGCGGGCCGCCGGGCCCCGCUCGGCCGCCGGCUCCGGCUGGCGCGCGCCCGCCAGAGGCCCAGCAAACUCUGAAUGUUAGUGUCGUCUGAGUACUAUAUAAUAGUUAAAACUUUCAACAACGGAUCUCUUGGUUCUG
rnacentral:misc_RNA from 1 species